rnacentral:tRNA from 1 species
UCCUGGGUGGCUCAGUCGGUUGAGCGUCUGACUUCGGCUCAGGUCGUGAUCUCAUGGUUCGUGGGUUUGAGCCCCGCAUCGGGCU